GCACUGGCUUUGAACCGGUGAGCGCUCUGUCCGUGGCGCCAUCGGCCAAGCUCCAGUGCGACAGUGACGGCUUGUUAUAACUGGCGCUGCUUGGCUCCGUCCCAAGUGGUGCUUUUAAAACAAAGCUACAAGU